UAAGCCUGUGAAGGUGUACUGUGAGGUAUGCUGGAGGUAUCAGAAGUGCGAAUGCUGACAUAAGUAACGAUAAAGCGGGUGAAAAGCCCGCUCGCCGGAAGACCAAGGGUUCCUGUCCAACGUUAAUCGGGGCAGGGUGAGUCGACCCCUAAGGCGAGGCCGAAAGGCGUAGUCGAUGGGAAACAGGUUAAUAUUCCUGUACUUGGUGUUACUGCGAAGGGGGGACGGAGAAGGCUAUGUUGGCCGGGCGACGGUUGUCCCGGUUUAAGCGUGUAGGCUGGUUUUCCAGGCAAAUCCGGAAAAUCAAGGCUGAGGCGUGAUGACGAGGCACUACGGUGCUGAAGCAACAAAUGCCCUGCUUCCAGGAAAAGCCUCUAAGCAUCAGGUAACAUCAAAUCGUACCCCAAACCGACACAGGUGGUCAGGUAGAGAAUACCAAGGCGCUUGAGAGAACUCGGGUGAAGGAACUAGGCAAAAUGGUGCCGUAACUUCGGGAGAAGGCACGCUGAUAUGUAGGUGAAGUCCCUCGCGGAUGGAGCUGAAAUCAGUCGAAGAUACCAGCUGGCUGCAACUGUUUAUUAAAAACACAGCACUGUGCAAACACGAAAGUGGACGUAUACGGUGUGACGCCUGCCCGGUGC
rnacentral:rRNA from 1 species